AAAUUGAAGAGUUUGAUCAUGGCUCAGAUUGAACGCUGGCGGCAGGCCUAACACAUGCAAGUCGAACGGUAACAGGAAACAGCUUGCUGUUUCGCUGACGAGUGGCGGACGGGUGAGUAAUGUCUGGGAAACUGCCUGAUGGAGGGGGAUAACUACUGGAAACGGUAGCUAAUACCGCAUAACGUCGCAAGACCAAAGAGGGGGACCUUCGGGCCUCUUGCCAUCGGAUGUGCCCAGAUGGGAUUAGCUAGUAGGUGGGGUAACGGCUCACCUAGGCGACGAUCCCUAGCUGGUCUGAGAGGAUGACCAGCCACACUGG
rnacentral:rRNA from 1 species